AGUCCAACUGAGGAAAACCCCAGAAAACCCUGUCCCCAAUUUUGCCAAGGUUGGGGUCGUGGGUUCGAAUCCCAUCGCCCGCUCCA
rnacentral:tRNA from 1 species